rnacentral:tRNA from 1 species
AGGGAUAUGGCUCAGUUGGUAGAGUGCUUGCCUUGCAUGCAUAAGGCCCUGGGUUCAAUCCCCAGCACCACAA